ACGCUGGCGGCAGGCCUAACACAUGCAAGUCGAGCGGUAGAGAGAAGCUUGCUUCUCUUGAGAGCGGCGGACGGGUGAGUAAUGCCUAGGAAUCUGCCUGGUAGUGGGGGAUAACGUUCGGAAACGGACGCUAAUACCGCAUACGUCCUACGGGAGAAAGCAGGGGACCUUCGGGCCUUGCGCUAUCAGAUGAGCCUAGGUCGGAUUAGCUAGUUGGUGGGGUAAUGGCUCACCAAGGCGACGAUCCGUAACUGGUCUGAGAGGAUGAUCAGUCACACUGGAACUGAGACACGGUCCAGACUCCUACGGGAGGCAGCAGUGGGGAAUAUUGGACAAUGGGCGAAAGCCUGAUCCAGCCAUGCCGCGUGUGUGAAGAAGGUCUUCGGAUUGUAAAGCACUUUAAGUUGGGAGGAAGGGCAGUAAAUUAAUACUUUGCUGUUUUGACGUUACCGACAGAGUAAGCACCGGCUAACUCUGUGCCAGCAGCCGCGGUAAUACAGAGGGUGCAAGCGUUAAUCGGAAUUACUGGGCGUAAAGCGCGCGUAGGUGGUUUGUUAAGUUGGAUGUGAAAUCCCCGGGCUCAACCUGGGUACUGCAUUCAAAACUGACUGACUAGAGUAUGGUAGAGGGUGGUGGAAUUUCCUGUGUAGCGGUGAAAUGCGUAGAUAUAGGAAGGAACACCAGUGGCGAAGGCGACCACCUGGACUAAUACUGACACUGAGGUGCGAAAGCGUGGGGAGCAAAC
rnacentral:rRNA from 1 species